rnacentral:lncRNA from 1 species
UUAGACCUAUACAUUACCGCUAAAGUAGAUGAUUUAUAUUACUUGUGAUAUAAAUUUUGAAACUUUAGUGAGUAGGAAGGUACAAUGGUAAGCGUAGAAGUGUUUGGCGUAAGCCUGCAUGGAGCUGCCAAUGGCACAGAGCUUGGUGGUAGUAGCAAAUAAUCGAAUGAGACCUUGGAGGACUGAAGUGGAGAAGGGUUUCGUGUGAACAGUGGUUGAUCACGAGUUAGUCGGUCCUAAGUUCAAGGCGAAAGCCGAAAAUGUUCAAGUAAAAAAUCAAUAAGCAUAUAUUGUCAAAUCUUUAAUGAUUUUUUUGAAACACUUGAUUAAUUUUGAACGAAAGGGAAUACGGUUCCAAUUCCGUAACCUGUUGAGUAUCCGUUGGUUAUUAAAUAUGGGCCUCGUGCUCAUCCUGGCAACAGGAACGACCAUAAAGAAGCCGUCGAGAGAUAUCGGAAGAGUUUUCUUUUCUGUUUUAUAGCCGUACUACCAUGGAAGUCUUUCGCAGAGAGAUAUGGUAGAUGGGCUAGAAGAGCAUGACAUAUACUGUUGUGUCGAUAUUUUCUCCUCGGACCUUGAAAAUUUAUGGUGGGGACACGCAAACUUCUCAA